rnacentral:rRNA from 1 species
UCCGUAGGUGAACCUGCGGAGGGAUCAUUACAGAGUUGCAAAACUCCCUAAACCAUCGUGAACGUUACCUUCGUCGUUGCUUCGGCGGGCGGCGCCCAGCGCGCCCCCCGGCCCCGCUCGCGGGGCGCCCGCCGGAGGUUACCUAACUCUUGACAAUUGUAUGGCCUCUCUGAGUCUCUGUACUUAAUAAGUCAAAACUUUCAACAACGGAUCUCUUGGUUCUGGCAUCGAUGAAGAACGCAGCGAAAUGCGAUAAGUAAUGUGAAUUGCAGAAUUCAGUGAAUCAUCGAAUCUUUGAACGCACAUUGCGCCCGCCAGUAUUCUGGCGGGCAUGCCUGUUCGAGCGUCAUUUCAACCAUCAAGCCCCCGGCUUGUGUUGGGGAUCUGCGGCUGCCCGCAGGCCCUGAAAACCAGUGGCGGGCUCGCUGUCACACCGAGCGUAGUAGCAUACACCUCGCUCAGGGCGUGCUGCGGGUUCCGGCCGUUAAAAGCCACAUCUUUACCCAAGGUUGACCUCGGAUCAGGUAGGAAGACCCGCUGAACUUAAGCAUAUCAAUAAGCGGAGGA